CAUAACUCAAUGAUUUAAAAUUAAAUUAAUCAACAUUUUUAUAAAUUUUACAAUAAGAAAAUAGCAAAUACUAUUUUGUAUGUAAUUUAAAACAUUUAAAAUAUGACUACUUAUGCAUAAAAAAAUAAUAAAAAUAAAUCAGUUCUUUAAUGCUAUUUGUUUCAUUCCAUGAUGUAUUAUUUACUGGGUUUAAUGUUAUACUCUUCACAUUUUCAUUAAGUCUGUCUUAAAAGGAUCUAAUAAUAAGUA